UUUUUUUUUUUUUUGGCUGCCCCCACAGCAUGUGAAAGUUCCCCAGCCAGGGAUGGAACCUGUACCAUAGCAGUGACCCAAACCAUUGCAGUGACAACACCAGAUCCUUAACUAAUUGAGCCACAAAAGGCAAUUCUUUGCCUAAUUUUCUUAUUACCAUCAAUAACUUCUUUCUCCUUAGGAUAAAAGCCAAAUGUCAUUAUUUGGAUUAUAUGGCUCAUCAUAAUUUAGUCUGUACUUAUACCUCAACCUUAUUGCUUAAAACACAUUUUAGUUCCAACAACACUGAAUUUCUUUCAAUUUGCUCCUUUGUCCAUACCAUACUUUCUCUUUAGUAUGUGCCUUCACAUGUGUCUGCAAAACAUCUUUCCACACUUGACUCCAACAUUAUAUGCUCCCUUUGUAAAAUCCAGAAAUAUCUUACACCACAUUGGGAAGAAUUUUGUUGCACUGAAUUCUUAACUAAUAAUGGUCUAUGCCAUUGAGAUAUUUAUUGUUUAUUAGAAUACCACAAUGUAAACAGUUCUGGUUUGGGUUUCUGACUCAACCAAGAACCCCAGAUUUUUCUAUCUUUUCAUCAGAAUACUGCUGUCUAUCUGGAAAUUCGUUGCCCUGUAUUCACAUUUUACACGCUCUAGUUCCUACAUCAAAACAGUGAACAAUCCUAUUCAAAGGCAGGAAGGACAGCAUGAGAAAGAGAACACUCUUUAUUCAGCCCAAGCAGCUUUCCAGUAUCAGGGAGAAAGCCUUUUCCUAAGUCUUCCACUUACCUGAUGUUCUUCUGUGGCUGGUUGACCAAAGUUGAUAUUUUGCUGGCCCUUAAACUAAUCACUUUCAUAAGGUGACUGUGAUUGGCUCCCACUGGUCAUAAUGAACCCUGUAGGACUAGGCACAGUAAGGCCUGAACAAACGUGGUAUUCCCUAACAAAGAAGAAAGGAGGGCUGUGCAUAAGCAACAUGUGAUGCUGCCGAACUGAGUUUACCUCUGCAGCCUUCCUCCUGCCACUGCAGAAUUCUACUCCACGACCUCCAUCCUCCCAGCCUCCUACUCACAUUCUAUAUUCUAGUUAUACUGAACUUCUUUUAGUUUCUAGAAUGUUCUGUGUACUCUUAGCAGCCAUUCAUUUCUGUGCCUAUGUUUGGAACAGAUUUCCCCUUUGCCCAGCUGGUGUUUAUUAAUCUUUUAGGUCUGAGCUAUGACAUUGUUUGCUCAGUCAUUCCACAGUCUGCAAAUCAAGUGAAGUGACCCUCCCUGUAACUAGUGAUUCUCCCAGGAUGCUGCUAGACCUCAUGGUCUGAGUAAAUGUGUUGAUGCAGCUAAGCCUGCCUUCCUCCCUCCUGCUUCCUCUGAGAGGAUGAUCUCCUUCCUGUUUCGUCAAUAAAAGUUCAUUGCUGGGAAGGGAUGUUACAGCAGAGAAAAGUCUUUAGAAUUUCAAGAGCUGAGGCCCGAGGGAAUGCAGAGGACAAAGAGUUGGAGCAAGGCUUCUGGUAGCUCUCAACUCCAGCCCAGAAAUGGCUCCCUGGAUUGGAUGGGAGGAGAGUUGCAGGAUAAGCUGGGGAGGGUGUAUGCUGACCUGCAGUGCUGCUAAUGGAAUUUCAGAUCCCAGCAACAGAGCAGACCACAGACCCUUCACAUGAGUCUGAGAAAAAUAGACUUGUCUGUCAUACCCAGGAGAGGUGAGAAAGCCCCAGUGUCCCCACAUGUGGGCAUAGAGGAGUCGAAAGGCCUGCAUGAUGUAGGAGGCAGAGGGAUCCAGGCACCUCACAUAUGAAAGGAUGUGAGUGAUUCCUCACUGUCAGUGAUCAGCUGGCAAAGGAUGAAGAGGCUCUGAUGGCUCCACUAAGUGCCCUUGCACCCCAAGUGAUGAGAGGGCAAUGACUUGGCACUAUGAACUUGAGGGAGAUUGCAAAGGAGCAGAGAGCCUGGCAGGGCUUGGUGACUGGAACACAGUCCUUUAGUGACAGGUAGAAAUGAAUGAAGGAACACUUAACAGGAAAAGGAUAUCUCAGGUGACACUGCUGCGCACAGGGGCCAGCCCAGGCCACAGUCACCCAGCAAUCCCUGGGCACCAUAUGAACUCCUGCGAGCACAAGCAUGGCCCCAGGCAAAGCAAGGAGAGUAGUAGGGAGUUGCUGCUAAAUUGAUUACAUGUCCAUUAGCUAAUAAAAUGACAAUGUAGGAGAGAAAUUAAGUUAUUAUGGAAAAAAUUUAUACUUUUGCUUGCUGAAAUUGCUUCCUGCAAUAUCUGAGCACCUGCCUAAGUCACAGGGUCCCUUGGCAUCAGCUUGUGCCACUUAUAGUUACUGUUGCCAAAUCAAGAUCCAGCACAGCUCACAGCAUUCAAAUGCUUGAGAAUAUUGUGUGGACCAAUCAAAGAUAAGACACCAUGGUGGUGGAGUACACUUUGUAAUAUUUUAUAGUGAUCGGAGAGCACUGGAUCCAAAUAAGUAAAACUAUGGAUUAAAAAAAAUCCAUCUAGUUUAGAAAUAAUAUUCCGAUUUUUUUCACAGUUAUUAAUUUAUAUCAAAAUACCUCACAGGAAAAAAAUAGAAAAACUUAAACAUCAAAUGCACUGUUGCUUUUCUAUAUAAAUCAUUCUGCAUGUGUCAAAGAGUAUGAAAAACUUCUCAAACCCAAGAUACCUGUAUUACGAUGGGGACUGCACACUCAAGAUAAGACUUUAUGCAGAUGUAUGUCCAUAUGCAUUUUAGAAAAAUAUAUGUAACACUGGAAGUGAAACAAUUACGCUACAUGCAUUUAUUCUUUACUGAAGUUUGGACUAGAGAUAUAUAAUAAUUUGAGUUGAAGAUUAAAUGCUGGCUGAAAUACCAUCCUGUUUCUGAUAAAAUCGAACAGAUUUCACAGUUUGACACGAGUUGAAUGUUACAGAAAACCAGUAACCUAAUAACCUAAAGCAUGCAGGAUUCCAAUAAAAUACUUCCCUGUGUUAAUCAUUACAUACCUAGCUCUGUGGUUACUCUUCCUUUAUCUUUUUUACAUGGGGGAAAAUGAAAAUUAUAACUUUCUGUCCAAAGUAUUCAGAAAUCAAAAUAACCCAGCAACUUCAGACAAACUUGUUUCCAGCCUGAAAACAUUAUAUAUUUAUAUUGCUCUUCACAAAAUGAAGAAAGAUAGCUCAGAAACAGAGGAGGAAAAGCCAACAAAUAAAGGAGAGGAAGUAAUCACACAACAUAUUACAACUUCCCCUACGAUGUCAGAUGAUUGUGGGAGAGCCAGCUGGUGAUAUUAUUGGGCUUUCACUGUUUCUCUGCUAGUUUCAAAUUUGGUUUGAGCCUCCCGGGAAAUGAGUUUGAAUGUCUCAUCUCAUUCCUAGAAGCAACAAAUCUCAGGGAAAAAAAAAAAAAAUCAGUUCCAUUCGCGGAAGGUUUUGCCUUGAAUGUGAAGCGAAGCAGAGAAGGGUCCGCAGUGAGUUCAGGGUUUGACUUGCAUCUUCCGUCGAAGUCUAGGGGGGGUCUAAGUCUGUGCCGGCCAGAGUCUUCCUCAAAGAAUUAAUCGGCCCCUCGGAGCCUCGGCCGCUCCACGUGGGUUCGUGGAGGUUUUCCCUUCAGUGGGGCUGGUGUCCACAGGUUUGGUGGUGUGCUUCUCUCAGAGAGAAUUAAUCCUGUUUGGCUAAAUAAAGAUUGAGGAUUGGCCAUAAGGAAGAAUGCUGGUGAUGCCAACAGUGUCUCUGCUGCCCCUCGGGACCUCCUUGGGCGUUCAGUGCACCAGGGGGAAGAAAAUCAAGUGGUGGGAACUCGCCCAUUCUUCCAACUUGAACAUCAGAUGCAUUGCUGCUUCUCUAUAUAAAUCAUUUUAAUGGUCUCACACCUGUUACUUCACUUAAAUCUAUGCAAAGCAUCCUCAUGAAAUAAGAGACUACUGACCCUCCUGCUUGGGUGUGAUUUUCCUGGUUAAGGCAGAAUCAGGUAAGAACAAGCCUGCUACCUCCCCAGUCAGCCCUCUUUUAUCAUCUCUGCUAGUGUUAUUUACCUUGAAUCACCCAAGAUGCCAAAAAUAUGUGAUAUCAGUUGAAAAUUAACAACAAAUUGCCUAUUGCAAUAUAGUGCAGUAAUGCCUCACAAGUGUUUAUGUUAAUAAAAAGAUUGAAUAAUUGAGAGGUGUUUGUUUGUGUUUGUUUGGAAGCUGGUUUCCCAGGUCUAGGUUUUCAGCGUCAGAUUUGGAAUUAGAAAGUGCUGCACAGCCAAGAACUCAGGAACACUCAAGGAUGGUUGUAUUUGUAAUACAAUUACAAAGCAAAACAAAACCCCACUCAGACCUGAUAUUUCUUUCUUCAAUUAUGAAACUGAAUUGUGUUUGAACAUUGGCUCCCAAAGCCUGGGCUGUUGUCAAUUAUUUAAACAAGAGAAAGCACAGAGAAACACAUUUUUGUUAAAAGAAAAAUAUUUCACCUAAAUUUAUGAAGUCUUAGCUGAGCUUUUGGAAUGCAUAAAAUAUGUGAAACAUUCCAUCAAGCCAGUCAUAUUUGAGCCUUGUCACCAUGUACAAUAUCCUUUUGUUCUUUCCUAUAAGCCACUGCUCCAUCCUAAUAAGGAAAUGACUCUGGGUAUAAUAUGUUUUUCCCCCUCUUAGUAAUGAAUGUAUUAGUCUGAUACAAAAGAAAAAUCUGCUUUAUAUUCUUUUACUGGCAUGGAGCUACAAACAAGUAUUCCAGUAUAACUUAGAAAGUAAAAACUUAGCAAAACUUCUGUGUUUUGGAAUGCUUAACAUUUCUGAGUCAUUACAUUCCAUUGAACUUCUGCAGAUCAGCAUAAGCAGUGUAUUUUAGACCUAUAGCAAAUUUGAAUGGUGUAAGCCCACUCAGCUAGUCGUGACCUUGAGUCACCCCUAGAAACUACUGUUUCCUCUCUCUGCCUGACAAGCACUGGCAAGAAGGUUGUGAAAGAUGUCAGAGGAGCCACUGUCUCCUAGAAGCUUCCCACUACCCAUUAGCUCUGGUAUCCACAGAGCCAAACAUCUUCCAAGUCAUUACAAUGACUCUUUGAUGGUAGUAGUUAAAGGGCUUUGGGGUCACUUAUGAAAGAAAGCUUUUAUUAUAAUCUGUUCACAAAUAUGGGUAUAAUGUAAUGCCCAGGGCACGUGCAUUUUCAUUUCUUUUUGUCUUUAUUAGUUACUCUUAUUAUUAUCUCAGCCUCUCCAGAGUUGUAGCAGGUGGUUAGAGGGUGGGCUGAUGGCAUCCCCAUUCUGCUGGAGGAUAAUGGAGGCAAAAAAUGAAACCAUCAUAACAGUGAAUGGUGAGCUACAAAUGUGGCAAUGAACUCUGAAGAAUCU
ensembl:lncRNA